AUUGAACGCUGGCGGCAGGCCUAACACAUGCAAGUCGAACGAGUGGCGGACGGGUGAGUUAUGUCUGGGAAACUGCCUUGUGGAGGGGGAUCACUACUGGAAACGGUAUCUAAUACCGCAUCCUCUCGUAUGCCCCCAGAUGGGAUUGGCUAGUAGGUGGGGUAAAGGCUCACCUGGGCGACGAUCCCUAGCUGGUCUGAGAGGAGGACCAGCCACACUGGAACUGAGACACGGUCCAGACUCCUACGGGAGGCAGCAGUGGGGAAUAUUGCACAAUGGGCGCAAGCCUGAUGCAGCCAUGCCGCGUGUAUGAAGAAGGCCUUCGGGUUGUAAAGCACUUUCAGCGGGGAGGCGUUACCCGCAGAAGAAGCACCGGCUAACUCCGUGCCAGCAGCCGCGGUAAUUC
rnacentral:rRNA from 1 species